UACAGAGGUCUCAAGCGUUGUUCGGAAUUACUGGGCGUAAAGAGUGCGUAGGCGGUGCUCUAAGUCUGUUGUGAAAUCUCCCGGCUCAACUGGGAGGGUGCGGCGGAAACUAGAGUGCUAGAGUAUGGGAGAGGUAAGCGGAAUUCCUGGUGUAGCGGUGAAAUGCGUAGAUAUCAGGAGGAACACCUGUGGUGUAGGCAGCUUACUGGACCAUGACUGACGCUGAGGCACGAAAGCGUGGGUAGCAAACAGG
rnacentral:rRNA from 1 species